UCCUCACUAACCGUGGUUUUAUUGAUUUUGGAGACUAUUGAUUGUGAUUUGUUUCGAUGUCGUUUAAUUGAUCCCUCUGUCUAUCGCGAUUGCAUCUCAGUUUCUAGGAUUUGAACGAAUCGUUGCGAUCGGUACUUCCCAUAUAUUUCUAGGGUUUCUAACUGUUGGUUAAAAUUUUCCUUGCUAUGAUUCUCUGGAGAGUUUAGGUUUUAUACUCUCAUCCGCUUGUUAAGGUUGAGAUCGUUUUUCUUAAACCUCAUAAGGCAAUGUGCUCAUUGGUUGUUGUUAUUCUUGACCUUAUGUUAUGCUCUGCCUUUCGAGCUUACCUCCAUGUGCUCUGGUUGCGUCUUCCUUUGGAGCUUACCUCCAUGUGCUCUGGUGGUCUUCUUCUUACAACUAUGAUGAUUUGGCUGUUUUCAUGUCCUCCUUAUGAACAAGCAUUCAAAGAUGCAAAAAAGCGGUAUGAAGCCUCCGGGGGUUCUUAAAACUCUAGUUGGUGUAGUCUCUCAAGUCAGAACAGCAAAUAACUUUGAAAGUAGCAGUAAGUUACUUCUUCUUUCAUCUUAAGCCACGGAAAUGCCAACAUAUUUGAUAUCAUGAAGUCAUAAUCUCUAGCGCAUGUAUAAUCAAGUGGAGUUUUCCGUCUCUUAGGCAUACCAUUUAAUUAGCAAUCACAACCAAAGAUGCAUGCGUGUGGAGUGUGGACAUUGAAGAGCCAGAGUUUUUGUUUUGUUUAGUCUUUGAUAUACAUUUUCCCCGUGACAAUGCACAACUAUCGUGUUCUCUAUAGAGGCUUGGGUGCACAGCUUGCCCGUGAUGUUCCAUUCUCAGCAAUCUUAUGGGGGACCCUCGAGGAUUUUUGACAUCUUUUAAACAUUUUAGUUAACCCUAGUAUUGUAAGUGAAUUUGGUUUGACCUUCCCCAUUGGUACAGAUGAGAAGAAGGCUUCUGGGAGUUGUUGACAAUGAUACAAAUCUUCUUGGUGUUUUCGGUGUAAACUUUUUUACUGGUUUUGUAGCUGGAUGUAUCAGUGCAAUCUUAAUAAGUAUCGUGUCCUCUUGACGUUGCAAGAACAAGAAGACAGAUAGAGAAGGAUCCUGGUAGGGCGUUGAUAAUGACGACGCGACAGACACUAGUAGAGGUUUGGAGGGAUGGAGGAAUGAGAGGACUGUUCAUGGGAAUGGGUCCACGAGUGGCUCGUGCAGGACCGUCGGUAGGGAUAGUGGUUUCCGUCUACGAGGUGGUCAAGUAUGUUCUGCAUCACCACACUUCAUCAUGACCCAACAAAGUCACAAAUCUCAUACACAUAACACAUGAAUGUGGAUACGGCUUUAGGUUGUAGUUUGUUUUUCUUUAAAUUAACAAAAUAAGUUAAACAGGCUCAGUCCUCCAAGCCCUUGUUUAAUAUGAGCCGGAAUUUUGUCCAGCUAUUAAUAUCGGCUAUUUAGUAUGUUUAAUC